GAUGAAGAACGCAGCGAAAUGCGAUAAGUAAUGUGAAUUGCAGAAUUCAGUGAAUCAUCGAAUCUUUGAACGCACAUUGCGCUCUCUGGUAUUCCGGGGGGCAUGCCUGUUCGAGCGUCAUUAUAACCACUCAAGCUCUCGCUUGGUAUUGGAGUUCGCGAUCUCGCGGCUCCUAAAAUCAGUGGCGGUGCCUGUCGGCUCUACGCGUAGUAAUACUCCUCGCGAUUGAGUCCGGUAGGUUUACUUGCCAGCAACCCCCAAUUUUUACAGGUUGACCUCGGAUCAGGUAGGGAUACCCGCUGAACUUAAGCAUAUCAAUAAGCGGAGGA
rnacentral:misc_RNA from 1 species